rnacentral:rRNA from 1 species
CCUACGGGGGGCUGCAGUCGAGAAUCAUUCGCAAUGGGCGAAAGCCUGACGAUGCGACGCCGUGUGAGCGAUGAAGGCCUUAGGGUUGUAAAGCUCUUUCGCCUGGGAACAAGCAAAGCAGACGAAUAAUCUGCAGAGUUGAGGGUACCAGGUAAAGAAGCACCGGCUAACUCCGUGCCAGCAGCUGCGGUAAUACGGAGGGUGCAAGCAUUAAUCGGAUUUAUUGGGCGUAAAGGGCGUGUAGGCGGGGAUGAAAGUCAGAUGUGAAAUCCCGG